CCUACGGGGCGCAGCAGUGGGGGAUAUUGCACAAUGGGGGGAACCCUGAUGCAGCGACGCCGCGUGGGUGAAGGAGUGCUUCGGCAUGUAAAGCCCUAUCGGCAGGGAAGAAGCAAGACGGUACCUGACUAAGAAGCCCCGGCUAACUACGUGCCAGCAGCCGCGGUAAUACGUAGGGGGCGAGCGUUAUCCGGAUUCACUGGGUGUAAAGGGAGCGUAGAUGGCCAUGCAAGCCAGGGGUGAAAGCCCGGGGCCCAACCCCGGGACUGCCCUUGGAACUGUGCGGCUAGAGUGCGGGAGGGGCAGGCGGAAUUCCUGGUGGAGCGGUGAAAUGCGUAGAUAUCAGGAGGAACACCGGCGGCGAAGGCGGCCUGCUGGACUGCGACUGACGUUGAGGCUCGAAAGCGUGGGGAGCGAACAGGAUUAGAUACCCUAGUAGUC
rnacentral:rRNA from 1 species